UAGCUUAUAGGUAUUAUAAUAAUAACAAAAUAGUUUGUCAUCAAUUUCUGCAUAAUAAAAUAUAGUGACUAAAUUUUUUUUGACUAAAUAUGUUUGUGAUGGUAUCUAAUUUAUUGGGCGCGAAAGAUUUUGUGACAAAAUAUACUUUUGACACUAUACCUUAAUUUAUUGUGAUAACAAUUAUUUUAUAGUAAUAAAUAUUAUGUAUAGUGAUAAAAUGAUUUGUGACAAAAUUUUAUACAAUAAAAUAUAGUGACUAAUUUUUAUUUUGACUACAUAUUUUGUCAUGAUAUCUAAUUUAUUAGCGCCAAAUUUAUGGCGCCAAAGAUUUUGUGACAAAUAUUAUGACAACAUAAUAUUUUGACACUAUAUAUCUUGCAACUUCUCUUAUUGUGACAAAAUAUUGUGAUAAAUUUUAUUUCAUUACUAGCAAUUUCAUUAGCUCUCCGAAACCUAGCUCCACCACCCACUCCCUCUGUAUGCCGGUAAACUCCCUUACUAAUGCUCGUAAAGCCAAUGGCCUACAACGAACAUUAGGGAUCUGCAUGCCAUCCAUAUGUUCACUGUAUCAAAUCAAAUUAUACGCAUGAAUCAUAUAUAGAAGUUUAUAAAUUGACUAAACUACAAAUCUGUUACCACUGUGGAUCUUUUCCUGAUGCUCGCUUCAAAACCUUCACUGGUUUUUACAAGAUUUUCAGUUAGAUUGGAUAAAAAAUUGUGCCUGUUGCCAUCUUCAUUGAAUGCUUCCUUCCUGUGCGCCAUAACAUCCGGUACUAUUAACUACUUUUAGAUUCUCAAAAAACAUAACUUUGUGUCAAUACUAUGCAAGACAAUUCAAGCACCAUCCAAGACCAAACAAUUACAAUUUUCAAACAUCUAAUGAUAGGAAUCUGUAACUUUAUGUACACCAACAUUGAAAUGAUGCAAAGAACAACUAUUUCGUGUUUAGAGUACAUAGUAGAAAAUUUACAUUAAUCAGAAAAAUUUGCCAAAAUUAUUUCCACAUAUCUUCUUCUCUAAUCACUUAAUGUCCAAUUCAAUUUGUUGCCAACUAGAAAGCAAGGACAACAACUGUUACUAUUUUCCAAACUCUGCCGAUAUGAAAACUAUGUUCCCCAAUAAGUACUGUGCUGCAACCUUAUCAAAAUGUAGAUUUCUGAUCUUUCAUAUAGUAUGAACACUCAACUACUAUACCAUAUAAAAUUAUACAUUUUGGGAGCCAAUUCUAGAAAGAGCUAAUUACUACCUACACACAAGUUACAAUUACAUCAAUACGAUUGUAAAUUCACCCUAAAAUGGGUUUUGCAAUUUUAUAAGCUUUUUUUUCUCCUAACACCAUAUUUUCCGUAGGUUGAUCUUUGCAUUUUUUUUUUUUUUUAUUUUCAACUAAAACAGCACGCACGUGUAUCAGUUGCUACUUUCAACAUUAGUUAACAUGCACCUUAACAAUACAGAUUGACCUUUUUCAUUGCUUCCCUCAUAGGCACCAACUCUCAAUCAAAAACAAAAUAAGUUUGAUUACUGCCACCAAUUAAUGCACAGGUUAAUAAUAAUUAGCAUAACACCAAUUGAUGCAUCAUUAAUCUACAAACAAAAACAAUUUGAGAUCACCCAAUUCAAUCGCGAAUUGUCAUUUGAAGAAUCGAUGAAUCAUACCUAUUCAAGGAGUUCUCCGGAUACGCCAUUCCGCCUUCACACUUUACCGAUUGCUAAAUGAUGACAUUGCUUAUCCAAAUUGGUUACUUCUACUGCUGAGUUACUAGGGUUUGCUCCUACUUCGUCGCACCUAACCUUUCAACCAAAUUCCCCUUUCAUUGACGCAAGCCAAUAUUCCUUUGUAAAAGGGAUUGUGGCAAUUACAUUAUUGUCCUCUCUAACGUUUAAUUCCAG
rnacentral:lncRNA from 1 species